rnacentral:rRNA from 1 species
GUGAGAUGCAGUGUAUGGAAUAUCUAUAUUCUAAUAUGAAGAAUUAAUGAUUUAAGUCCUUCUUAAAUGAGGCCAUUUACCCAUAGAGGGUGCUAGGCCCGUAUAACAUUUUUGAUUAUUAGAAGAUAUUUCCAAAGAGUCGUGUUGCUUGAUAGUGCAGCACUAAGUUGGUGGUAAACUCCAUCUAAAACUAAAUAUAACCAUGAAACCGAUAGUAAACAAGUACCGUGAGGGAAAGUUGAAAAGAACUCUGAAUAGAGAGUUAAAUAGUACGUGAAACUGCUUAGAGGUUAAACCCGAUGAACCUGAAUAUCCAAUAUAAAGAAUUCAUCAUUAUAACAAUAAUUAUUAUUAUUGUAAUGGUGUGCAUUUUCUUUAUAUAAUUGGACAUUGUAAUCUAUUAAUAGAAAAUUUAUCAUAAGAUUAAUAAUAAAUGUUUAUUUUUUAAUUAGUAAUUUAUUAUUAAUUUAAAAUAAUAUUAUUAAUUGGAUAAAGUAUUGAUAGAUUUAAUCAUAUGUAUAAUGCAUAAAUUUCUUUAUGAGAUUUUAUAAUAAUUUUUUUUAUUAUAAGCAUUUAUACGAUUUACAAUGCGAAAGAUUCAGGAAACCUUCGGGACCCGUCUUGAAACACGGACCAAGGAGUCUAACAUAUGUGCAAGUUAUUGGGAUUUUUUAUAUAAAACCCAAAAGCUUAAUUAACAUAACUUUUUUUAAAUGGGAUUAAUUUUUUAUUUAUUUAUAAAUAAAUUAUUCAAUCCCAGGGCGUUUUAUAUGUUAUGUAUAAUAGCAUUUUAUGUUAUUUAUACCUCUAACUAGAGCGUACCUUGAGCAUAUAUGCUGUGACCCGAAAGAUGGUGAACUAUACUUGAUCAGGUUGAAGUCAGGGGAAACCCUGAUGGAAGAC